rnacentral:rRNA from 1 species
AGGACGAACGCUGGCGGCGUGCUUAACACAUGCAAGUGGAGCGACGAACCAGGGCUUGCCCUGGGGCAGAGCCGCGAACGGGUGAGUAACACGUGGGUUACCUGCCUCGAUGACCGGGACAACCCGAGGAAACUCGGGCUAAUACCGGAUGUGCCCGCAAGGGGAAAGGAAGCUUCGGCCUCCGCAUCGAGAUGGGCCCGCGGCCCAUUAGCUUGUUGGUGAGGUAACGGCUCACCAAGGCUUCGAUGGGUAGCUGGUCUGAGAGGACGAUCAGCCACACUGGGACUGAGACACGGCCCAGACUCCUACGGGAGGCAGCAGUGGGGAAUCUUGCGCAAUGCGCGAAAGCGUGACGCAGCAACGCCGCGUGGGGGAAGAAGGCUUUCGGGUUGUAACCCCUUUCAGUUGGGACGAAGCUUCGACGGUGAAUAGCCGGACGGAGUGACGGUACCUUCACAAGAAGCACCGGCUAACUACGUGCCAGCAGCCGCGGU